UACGUAGGGGGCAAGCGUUAUCCGGAUUUACUGGGUGUAAAGGGAGCGUAGACGGUUAUGUAAGUCUGAAGUGAAAGCCCGGGGCCCAACCCCGGGACUGCUUUGGAAACUGUGUAACUAGAGUACAGGAGGGGCAGGCGGAAUUCCUGGUGUAGCGGUGAAAUGCGUAGAUAUCAGGAGGAACACCGGCGGCGAAGGCGGCCUGCUGGACUGAAACUGACGUUGAGGCUCGAAGGCGUGGGGAGCAAACAGG
rnacentral:rRNA from 1 species